UCAAGCGACUAAGUGCAUGUGGUGGAUGCCUUGGCGAUUACAGGCGAUGAAGGACGUGGCAGCCUGCGAAAAGCUCCGGGGAGUCGGCAAACAGACAUUGAUCCGGAGAUGUCCGAAUGGGGAAACCCACCCGCAAGGGUAGCCCACGCUGAAUACAUAGGCGUGCGGCGGCGAACCUGGCGAACUGAAACAUCUAAGUAGCCAGAGGAACAGAAAUCAACCGAGAUUCCGAAAGUAGUGGCGAGCGAAAUCGGACCAGCCUGUGCGUUUUAGCUUCUGAUCUAGUGGAACUGUCUGGAAAGUCAGGCCAUAGUGGGUGAUAGCCCCGUACGCGAAAGAUCAGAGGUAGAACUAGGCGCACGUUAAGUAGGGCGGGACACGUGAAAUCCUGUCUGAAGAUGGGGGGACCAUCCUCCAAGGCUAAAUACUCGUAAUCGACCGAUAGUGAACCAGUACCGUGAGGGAAAGGCGAAAAGAACCCCGGGAGGGGAGUGAAAUAGAUCCUGAAACCGCAUGCAUACAAACAGUAGGAGCCUCGUAAGGGGUGACUGCGUACCUUUUGCAUAAUGGGUCAGCGACUUACAUUGUGUGGCGAGCUUAACCGAGUAGGGAAGGCGUAGCGAAAGCGAGUCCGAAUAGGGCGUCCAGUCGCACGGUGUAGACCCGAAACCAGAUGAUCUAUCCAUGGCCAGGUUGAAGGUGGGGUAACACUCACUGGAGGACCGAACCGACUACUGUUACAAAAGUAGCGGAUGAGCUGUGGAUAGGGGUGAAAGGCCAAACAAAUCUGGAAAUAGCUGGUUCUCCCCGAAAACUAUUGAGGUAGUGCCUCGCGUAUCACUCCAGGGGGUAGAGCACUGUUAUGGCUAGGGGGGCAUGGCGCCUUACCAAACCAUUGCAAACUCCGAAUACCUGGAAGUGUCAGCGCGGGAGACAGUGCACCGGGUGCUAACGUCCGGACACGAAAGGGAAACAACCCAGACCGCCAGCUAAGGUCCCAAAUAUCAACUAAGUGGGAAACGAAGUGGGAAGGCUAAGACAGUCAGGAAGUUGGCUUAGAAGCAGCCAUCCUUUAAAGAAAGCGUAAUAGCUCACUGAUCGAGUCUUCCUGCGCGGAAGAUGUAACGGGGCUAAGUUGAUAACCGAAGCUGCGGAUGCGCCGCAAGGCGCGUGGUAGGGGAGCGUUCUGUACGCCUGUGAAGGUGGCUUGAGAAGGCUGCUGGAGGUAUCAGAAGUGCGAAUGCUGACAUGAGUAGCGUUAAAGAGGGUGAAAAGCCCUCUCGCCGUAAGCCCAAGGUUUCCUGCUCUACGUUCAUCGGAGCAGGGUGAGUCGGCCCCUAAGACGAGGGCGAAAGCCGUAGUCGAUGGGAAGCAGGUCAAUAUUCCUGCACCGAUUUCCAAUGCGAUGGGGGGACGGACUGUUGAAGAUCAUCCGGGUGUUGGAUGUCCCGGUUUCUGAUCGUAGGUGGCCAGUAGGCAAAUCCGCUGGCGCAUCACCGAGGUGAAGGAACGAGUGGCCUCGUGCCGCGAAGUGAUUGGAUGUGGUUCCAAGAAAAGCCUCUAAGCUUCAGUUGGAGACGACCGUACCGAAAACCGACACUGGUGGGCGAGCUGAAUAUGCUCAGGCGCUUGAGAGAACUCGGGAGAAGGAACUCGGCAAAUUGACACCGUAACUUCGGAAGAAGGUGUGCCCUUGUAGCGUGAUGGGAGAGACGCCCAGAGCGUGACCGGGUCGCAGAGAAUCGGUGGCUGCAACUGUUUAUUAAAAACACAGCACUCUGCAAAGACGAAAGUCGACGUAUAGGGUGUGACGCCUGCCCGGUGCUGGAAGGUUAAGUGAUGGAGUGCAAGCUCUUGAUCGAAGCCCCAGUAAACGGCGGCCGUAACUAUAACGGUCCUAAGGUAGCGAAAUUCCUUGUCGGGUA
rnacentral:rRNA from 1 species